GUGGGCUAUAGCCUUGGGGGGUGGGGCUGGCCAACAACGUCCGCCGGACUCAGAAUGCCGUGAGGCUUUGAGAGGGGCCUCCGUGUGCCAAAAACAGACCGCGGGCAAAGCCGCGCCCAAAAAUAACCGCACGAAGGCCGGGGCCCCAAGUUCGUCCAGCGGAAAAAGGCGACAAAAACGGGUGGGCUAUACCCUCGAGGGGUGGGGCUGGCCAACUUCGUCCGCCGGACUCGGAAUGCCGCGAGACAUUGCGAGGGUCCUCCGUGUGCUAAAAAUAGGGCGCGGGCAAAGCCGCCCCCAAAAAUAACAGCCCGAAGGCCGGGGCGCCAAGUUCGUCCAGCGGAAAAGGGCCACAAAAACGGGUGGGCUGCACCCUCGGGGGGUGGGGUUGCCCACUUCGUCCGCCGGACUCGGAAUGCCGCGAAACUUUGCGAGGGUCCUCCGUGUACCAAAAAUAGUCCGCGGACAAAGCCGCGCCAAUAAUUAACCGGCCGAAGGCCGGGGAACCAAGUUCGUCCAGCGGAAAAAGGCCACAAAAACGGGUGGGCUAUAGCCUUGGGGGGUGGGGCUGGCCAACUUCGUCCGCCGGACUCGGAAUGCCGCGAGACUUUGCGAGGGGUCUCCGUGUGCCAAAAAUAGGCCGCGGGCAAAGCCGCACCCAAAAAUAACCGCCCGAAGGCCGGGGCGCCACGUUCGUCCAGCGGAAAAAGGCCACAAAAACGGGAGGGCUAUAGCCUUGGGGGGUGCGGCUGGCCAACUUCGUCUGCCGGACUCGGAAUGGCGCGAGACUUUGCGAGGGGCCUCCGUGUGCCAAAAAUAGGCCGUGGGCAAAGCCGCUCCCAAAAAUAACCGCCCGAAGGCCGGUGCGCCAAGUUCAUCCAGCGGAAAAAGGCCACAAAAACGGGUGGGCUAUAGCCUUGGGGGGUGGGGCUGGCCAACUUCGUCCGCCGGACUCGGAAUGCCGCGAGACUUUGCGAGGGGCCUCCGUGUGCCAAAAACAGGCCGUGGGCAAAGCCGUGCCCAAAAAUAACCGCCCGAAGGCCGGGGCGCCAAGUUCGUCCNNNNNNNNNNNNNNNNNNNNNNNNNNNNNNNNNNNNNNNNNNNNNNNNNNNNNNNNNNNNNNNNNNNNNNNNNNNNNNNNNNNNNNNNNNNNNNNNNNNNNNNNNNNNNNNNNNNNNNNNNNNNNNNNNNNNNGCCGCGCCCAAAAAUAACCGCCCGAAGGCCGUGGCGCCAAGUUCGUUCAGCGGAAAAAGGCCACAAAAACGGGUGGGCUAUAGCCUUGGGGGGUGGGGCUGGGCAACUUCGUCCGCCGGACUCAGAAUGCCGUGAGGCUUUGCGAGGGGCCUCCGUGUGCCAAAAACAGACCGCGGGCAAAGCCGCGCCCAAAAAUAACCGCCCGAAGGCCGGGGCCCCAAGUUCGUCCAGCGGAAAAAGGCGACAAAAACGGAUGGGCUAUACCCUCGAGGGGUGGGGCUGGCCAACUUCGUCCGCCGGACUCGGAAUGCCGCGAGACAUUGCGAGGGUCCUCCGUGUGCCAAAAAUAGGGCGCGGGCAAAGCCGCGCCCAAAAAUAACAGCCCGAAGGCCGGGGCGCCAAGUUCGUCCAGCGGAAAGGGCCACAAAAACGGGUGGGCUGCACCCUCGGGGGGUGGGGCUGGCCCACUUCGUCCGCCGGACUCGGAAUGCCGCGAGACUUUGCGAGGGUCCUCCGUGUACCAAAAAUAGGCCGCGGACAAAGCCGCGCCAAGAAAUAACCGGCCGAAGGCCGGGGAACCAAGUUCGUCCAGCGGAAAAAGGCCACAAAAACGGGUGGGCUAUAGCCUUGGGGGGUGGGGCUGGCCAACUUCGUCCGCCGGACUCGGAAGGCCGCGAGACUUUGCGAGGGGUCUCCGUGUGCCAAAAAUAGGCCACGGGCAAAGCCGCACCCAAAAAUAACCGCCCGAAGGCCGGGGCGCCACGUUCGUCCAGCGGAAAAAGGCCACCAAAACGGGUGGGCUAUAGCCUUGGGGGGUGGGGCUGGCCAACUUCGUCCGCCGGACUCGGAAUGCCGCGAGACAUUGCGAGGGACCUACGUGUGAAAAAAAUAAUCCGCGGGCAAAGCCGCGCCCAAAAAUAACCACCCGAAGGCCAGUGCGCCAAGUUCGUCCAGCGGUAAAAGGCCACAAAAACGGGUGGGCUAUAGCCUUGGGGGGUGGGGCUGGCCAACUUUGUCCGCCGGACUCGGAAUGCCGCGAGACCUUGCGAGGGUCCUCCAUGUGCUAAAAAUAGGCCGCGGGCAAAGCCGCACCCAAAAAUAACCGCCCGAAGGCCGGGGCGCCACGUUCGACCAGCGGAAAAAGGCCACAAAAACGGGUGGGCUAUAGCCUUGGGGGGUGGGGCUGGCCAACUUCGUCCGCCGGACUCGGAAUGCUGCGAGACUUUGCGAGGGGCCUCCGUGUGCCAAAAAUAGGCCGCGGGUAAAGCCGCGCCCAAAAAUAACUGCCCGAAGGCCGGGGCGCCAAGUUCGUUCAGCGGUAAAAGGCCACAAAAACGGGUGGGCUAUAGCCUUGGGGGGUGGGGCUGGCCAACUUCGUCCGCCGGACUCGGAAUGCUGCGAGACUUUGCGAGGGGCCUCCGUGUGCCAAAAAUAGGCCGCGGACAAAGCCGCGCCCAAAAAUAACUGCCCGAAGGCCGGGGCGCCAAGUUCGUUCAGCGGAAAAGGCCACAAAAACGGGUG
rnacentral:lncRNA from 1 species